AUGUGCUCUUGUUUUUAUAAUUUUUACAUAUCUUAUGUUUUGAACAACUCUCGGCUUGUUAGUAAUAAUAUUUAUUUUCCCAGUCAUGAUUAGGCUUCUGCGCAACUUUUUCGCGCUUACAAAUAUCACGUGAUCCCCACUCUCAGACCCCUUGCUCCGCAGAAAAGCUGAGAUCUCAGUUAUUUGACAAUAUUGAAGUACUUAGACGUGAAUCUGGAUAAAUUGUCACGUGUUUAUAUUUUGUUUUAAUUACUGAAUGUCCAUUUUAAUAAUAUUUAUCUUAUCUUUUAAAACAUGAGUUCGUCACGAAGAAAGUAUAAAUAUAGUAGUGAUUUAUUUUGUUAUAUUUGCGGUGUUUAUAUAACAAAAAAGUAUUAUCACAGACUUUCUCGAGGAGACUUAUGCUGAAUAUUUCGGUUUUAAAAUGGAGAAACUAGAUAAAUCAUAGGUUCCUUAUAAAGUUUGUAAGUCCUGUGUUGAGGCUUUACGGUUGUGGAAACAAGGAGAACGUUCUGGAUUAGACUUUGGUAUUCCUAUGAUCUGGAUGGAGCCUAAGAAUCAUUUGGAUAAUUGUUACUUUUGCGUAUAGAUGCUAAAGGUUUUAAUCGAAAUCAAACGUGGAGAUAUCCAGACUUACAGUCUAGAAAAUGUCCUGUUCUACAUAGUGAAAAUCUCCCUCGGCCUGUUUACGUUUCAAAAGUAAUUCGCAUGCCCUCAGAAACAAUGAUGUUGCCAAAAUUCACAGAAAUCGGAACAGUCUACCAGUGGAAGUGAAUGGGAAGGUGAAACAUCUACGCCGAAGUUAUUUUCUCAAAAUGAACUCAGUGAUUUAAUACGUGAUCUCAAUUUAUCAAAUCAAGGAUCAGAACUGUUAACCUCAAGAUUGAAAGAAAAAAAUGUAUUGGAAUUUUUUUGUGAAAAUGACUGGUGUACUGCAAUAAUGUCGCGAAUAUAAUAUUAAACAUAGGACAUUAACAACAUAUUAAAAUAUAUAGUUGAACAAAACUAUUGUUGUUUUAAUAUGAAUUUUAUACAAUCACACAGGGUUUAGCCAUGGGUAUGCCACUAUCAGGGCUAAUUGCCAACAUUUUUCUGGAUCAUAUAGAAAAAUCAAAGAUAAUGAACGUUGCUAAUUUUUAUAAAAGACACAUUUAUAAAUGGAACAGGUAUGUUGAUGAUGUUUUCUGCAUAAGGAGAAGGUAAAAAGGUAAAAAGCUAGACCUUUAUGAAAUUUUGGAAAUACAGAAACACAAAUUAAAUAAAAAUAUAAUUUUACUCAACGAACAAUUGGAAAUAUAUGAAAAACCUUUAUUUUCAUAUUUAAAAAACUUAAAUUCAUAAUUUUAUAUUUUUAGAUACGGUUUCGAAACGUUGUUGGCUAACUUCAUGUAACUCAUUUUAUCUUCUGACAAUUAUGACGUGUUUACAAAAUAACGUGUGUUCAGUUUUUCGUUUAGUGUAUUUAAUUGUCAAUGUUGAUUCAGUAGUACAUUUGAUUUUCGUCAACAUAUAUGUUUAUGAGUUUGAACAACACAUUCUUACAUUUAGUUUAUUGUUGACAAUUUGGCUGAAGAUGGGCAGGUUCAUUGCCCGAAACUAGUACCAUAUAAAAUAAAAAUAAUAUAAGCAA